CAAUAGCGUAUAUUAAAGUUGUUGCGGUUAAAAAGCUCGUAGUUGGAUUUCUGCUGAGAACGACCGGUCCGCCCUUUGGGUGUGUAUCUGGCUCUUUCUUGGCAUCUUCUUGGUGAACGUUGCUGCACUUGACUGUGUGGAGCGCUACCCAGGACUUUUACUUUGAGGAAAUUAGAGUGUUUCAAGCAGGCAUACGCCUUGAAUACAUUAGCAUGGAAUAAUAAGAUAGGACCUCGGUUCUAUUUUGUUGGUUUCUAGAGCUGAGGUAAUGAUUAAUAGGGAUAGUUGGGGGCAUUCGUAUUUAACUGUCAGAGGUGAAAUUCUUGGAUUUAUUAAAGACGGACUACUGCGAAAGCAUUUGCCAAGGAUGUUUUCAUUGA
rnacentral:rRNA from 1 species